AUGGACACGAGGGCCCCCACUCAGCUGCUGGGGCUCCUGCUGCUCUGGCUCCCAGGUGCCAGAUGUGCCGCUGUGCUGACCCAGACUGCAUCCCCCGUGUCUGCCGCUCUGGGAGGCACAGUCACCAUCAAUUGCCAGUCCAGUCAGAGUGUUUAUAGUAACAACUAUUUAUCCUGGUAUCAGCAGAAACCAGGUCAGCCUCCCAAGCUCCUGAUCUACAAGGCAUCCACUCUGGCAUCUGGGGUCCCAUCGCGGUUCAAAGGCAGUGGAUCUGGGACACAGUUCACUCUCACCAUCAGCAACGUGGAAUGUGCCGAUGCUGCCACUUACUACUGUGCAGGCGAUUAUGGUGGUAGUACUGAUACCACAGUGAUACAAGCCCUAACAAAAACCCCCCAGGAAAGCAGAAGUAAUUUGGGAGACCAGUGUGAGGAUGUAGAUCACGGAGCGUUUGGUGGUGUGGAAGGAGUUCUGAGGGUGUGUUUUCUGACUGCCAUCUCGGAGCACGAGGCCCCGCCCACUGGUCAAUCCCUCGUCACCGUUCUGUAG